rnacentral:lncRNA from 1 species
AGCACAGGUCUAAGGCUAGCCUGGGCUACACUAGGGAAUUAUAAAUAUAUAAAUAUAAGAGGAAAAAAAUAAGUGACUCUUUCACAGAAUACAUCCUUUAUUGUUCUCCAGACUCCAUCAUUCAAAGGAGGAUUGUUUUAUGCUUUUAUCUCAGUGCUGACCCUUUCCUGUUUUCAUUGCUAUAUGAAGUACAACUGACUGGAAGGUAUCACUUUACCAUCCUGACCAUAAGUUUCCUGCUGUUUCCUUUGCUCUGUUCCACCUUAGAUGCUAAAAUGCUCUGUCUCAGAGAAGGCUGAGUCCCCAGCCCUGCAUAUCUUCACAGAGACGA